AAAAUAUGAUGUCAGAUUUAACAUGGACAAACAACAUGUUGAGCAUAGACAUGCAACAGGUAUAUAUUUAGAUCUGAACAAACUAGCAUACAUAGCAUUCAUAACAUUUGAAUCUAUUUUAUCACAAACAGAGUUUAGAUAUAUCAGUCUUUGCUUUGCACAAAGAUGUCAGAGAGUUUGACGGAGUCAGUUUUCCCUUUUGAAACUCGAGUCGUUCUCCUUCGCGUUUUCUGAUUUGUUGAAACCGUAGUUGAAGGAUUAGCAGCGCAGCACUCCACAAGGCUUUGAUACCAUGAAGAAACUGGAGAGAUCGAAGUGUCGUGUGCACCGUUUGAAGAUUAGGUUUAGGAGAUGAGCAACCAGAAGAACGAAGAGGAGUCGGUUGGGAAGAACCCAAGCGUUUUAGGGUUUUUG
rnacentral:lncRNA from 1 species